rnacentral:rRNA from 1 species
UACGUAGGGUGCAAGCGUUAUCCGGAAUUAUUGGGCGUAAAGAGCUCGUAGGCGGUUUGUCGCGUCUGCUGUGAAAACCGGAGGCUCAACCUCCGGCCUGCAGUGGGUACGGGCAAACUAGAGUGCGGUAGGGGAGAUUGGAAUUCCUGGUGUAGCGGUGGAAUGCGCAGAUAUCAGGAGGAACACCGAUGGCGAAGGCAGAUCUCUGGGCCGUAACUGACGCUGAGGAGCGAAAGCGUGGGAGCGAACAGG